AGCUUUAGUGCGUUUACCGAAUGCAAAACCUUGGCGACGAUCUUUGUGGCAUGUUGUAGUGACUUCUCUAUCUUCAUUUUUAUAUGAUUACCACAUUGGAGUAGUCACUGAAACCUUAGAGAGCAUUUCUAAAAAGCUUGAUUUUAAUGGGAAUACAAUAGCUGAAGGUCUUGUAGUAAAUACCUAUUUAGGAGGUGCUUUUUUAGGUCUCUGUUUAGUGGUUGGAUUGCAGAUGGGGUUGGGCGUAAACAGUCGAGUCGUUUCUGUGUGACGUCAAGAUCACGGGUUCAAGUCCUAGAAACUAGUCACACUGCACUGAUAUAAUUAUCAGUUAGGAUACCUAUAUUACAAUUAUGAAAACAUGGAAUGAGAGUUUCAAAUGAGGGAGUGUUAAUUUUUCAUGUAUGUUGGAUUUCGUUGGAGUCUUCAUUCCUUCUCCUUAAGGUACUCCAACAGAAUAUGUGGCUCAUUUCUCAGUUGUUCUGUCACAGCACCACAACAACCAUAAGGGAUUGGUCUUUAAAAAUUGUUGAAAAGAUUGAUACUACCGUGUUCUACUGUACCAAAAGUAUGCAAUGGUGGGAAACCUACUGCUGGCUCUUUGUAUGUAUAAUGAGGGUUUAUGGUGAGAAGCAGAAGAAGUACAGCAACAAAAUAGACCUGACAUUGAAGCUGUCACCUUGUGAUGAUGAGAACGAAAAAGAUAGAAAGAGGAAGCUGAAGAAGUCAUUAUCAUUGAUAAAAGAUGGCA